rnacentral:rRNA from 1 species
GUUAAAAAGCUCGUAGUUGGAUUUCUGCUGAAGCAAACCGGUCCGCCCUCUGGGUGAGCAUCUGGUUUUGUUUUGGCAUAUGCUUAGACUUUGCAGCUGCACUUGACUGUGUGGUGUGAAGGCUGAGCCAUUUACUUUGAGGAAAUCAGAGUGUUUCAAGCAGGCCAUUGCCUUGAAUACACUAGCAUGGAAUAAUAUGAUAUGACUGUGGUUUUAUUUUGUUGGCUUUUAGAAUUAGAGUAAUGGUUAAUAGGGAUAGUUGGGGGCAUUCAUAUUUAACUGUCAGAGGUGAAAUUCUUGGAUUUGUUAAGGAUGAACGACUGCGAAAGCAUUUGCCAAGGAUGCUUUCAUUGAUCAAGAACGAAAGUUAGGGGAUCGAAGACGAUUAGAUACCGUCCUAGUCUUAACCAUAAACCAAGCCAACUAGAGAUUGGAGAUUGUUAUGUGCAUGACUCCUUCAGCACCUUAUGAUAAAUCAAAGUCUUUGGGUUCCGGGGGGAGUAUGGUCGCAAGGCUGAAACUUAAAGGAAUUGACGGAAGGGCACCACCAGGAGUGGAGCCUGCGGCUUAAUUUGACUCAACACGGGGAAACUUACCAGGUCCAGACAUAGUAAGGAUUGACAGAUUGAUAGCUCUUUCUUGAUUCUAUGGGGUGGUGGUG